rnacentral:rRNA from 1 species
CCUACGGGGGGCAGCAGUGAGGAAUAUUGGUCAAUGGCCGGAAGGCUGAACCAGCCAAGCCGCGUGAAGGACGAAGGUGCUAAGCAUUGUAAACCUCUUUUGUCAAGGGACAAAAUCAGGCUCGAGAGCCUGACCGAGGGUACUUGAAGAAAAAGCAUCGGCUAACCCCGUGCCAGCAGCCGCGGUAAUACGGAGGAUGCGAGCGUUAUCCGGAUUUAUUGGGUUUAAAGGGCGCGUAGGCGGACUGUUAAGCCAGCGGUAAAAGCCCGGGGCUCAACCCCGGCGAGCCGUUGAAACUGGCUGUCUUGAGAAGUCGAGAGGUAGGCGGAAUGCGCAGUGUAGCGGUGAAAUGCGUAGAUAGUGCGCGGAACACCGGUUGCGAAGGCAGCAUACCGGCGGCGAUCUGACGCUGAGGCACGAAGGCGUGGGUAGCGAACAGGAUUAGAUACCCCAGUAGUC